UUCUCCUUUUCCUUUUCUUUUUCUUUUUCAUUCCCCUUCCCCCAAUUUGGAGAGGCCAAACAAGGAAGAGCAAGAGGGCGUUGACAGGCAGCGCUUAA
rnacentral:ribozyme from 13 species